CUUUUUAGGGAGACCCAACCAAUUUUAGAUUUGAGAUUUUGGAUUUGAGAUUUGAAAAACAAUCAAUCCAAAAUUAGCAAUCAGCAAUUAAAAAUCUAAAAUUGAGUCAUCCCAGGUCGGUCGCAGGAUUGAGACAUGGCUUUCAAACUAUUAAAUGGUUCGGAUUAUGGGCUAUUAGCUCAGGUGGUUAGAGCGCACCCCUGAUAAGGGUGAGGUCCCUGGUUCGAGUCCAGGAUGGCCCACCUGAAGAAAGUCUGAAGGAUAAAGGCUGAAGGCUGAAAGGUUUCAACCUUCAAACUUCAUACUUCAUCUUUUUUUGAUGGGGGUUUAGCUCAGUUGGUAGAGCGCCUGCUUUGCAAGCAGGAUGUCAGGAGUUCGAGUCUCCUAACCUCCACCUGUACUGACACCUAUGAAGCAAUCAAAAUUCGGUAACUCUCACAGAAAACUGUGGAAGUGUUAGAAUGAAGAUUGUGGAUAUGGGGUCAAGUGUGGCAAGAUAAAAAACCCCGUCUCAAAUCUAGCAUCUGAAUGAAAAUAUUCAGGCUGCUGGGUAAAGAGCCAGCCAGAACCUUGAAAACUGCAUAGAGAAGCGAAAGUAGGUAGUAGUUGAAAGUUGAGAAAGAUGUAGUUGUGAGUGAAAAGCCAACAACGAAGUGGAAUUUCUCAACAAUCAACCAAAUCCAGACACCAAUGUAGAG
rnacentral:tRNA from 1 species